AUACUAUGAUGUGGGCACUUUCUUUGAAUAGACUUAUUCCGCUCCCAUGCCUCAUACAAAGAUUCAUCUGGGUGUGGUCAAAUGGUAGAGAGCUCCUCCUUAACUUA